rnacentral:lncRNA from 1 species
UUCUGCCUGAGGACUCCAUGCUCCCUCUUCAAGUUCUGGAAGGACCUCAUACAACUGCGAAAACAAAAGGUAGGUGUAUCAUUAACAGUAAUGGAUGAUUAACAAGUCUCGCUCAGAGAGAAAAGUUAGUGCCCAUCACAGACAAAAGGACAACCAGCCCGUGUAAUUGUCAAUAGCCAAGAAGGGCUGAACCGCCGAAGCUAAUCCAAUUGGUUCUAACUGUUAGAAGAAAGAGGAGCAGUAGAGCAUGUGUAGCUAGUACGGUUCCACAUGACACGGCCAAAGCUAUGGGCAUUGGCUGUAUUGGUGCUUUCUGCAAAGUGCCCAUGGGUUGGGUGCUCAAAUAUCAUAUUAAUGGGAACUAGAGUACUUUUACAUGCCCUUUUUUUUUCAAGGGACUGGGGAAUUUGGUUUUAGCAAUCAUCUUAAGAUUGACGACCCAAAGUUACCAGUUCAAAGGCCAAAAAGAAAAUCAUCAUGCAGAUUACAGACAGAGUGAGAGGGAGAUACCCUUCAGCAUUCUCGUCUCCACAGCUAUUCCUGAAUGAGGUGCACUCGUUCUUCAUCCUAGAAGCACCAAUACUGUCACCGGUAGUGUUAUGUUAGGCAUGAAUAGAUCAUACAAAGACAUAAAGUCGUUACGAUGUAAACACAUUAUCAAAAUGUCUAUGUAUCACUGUAUAAUUGUAUCACAUAUUCACAUAUAUAAAACUGUGACAGUAAUAUCACAAUAUCUUCUAUACAACAUUGUUACCUUGAUAUAUGCAUGAACACAACUUUUAGUUUGUAACGUACAUUUUUACGAUGAGACUGAUCAAACUAAAAUUUGCCUUUGCAUUAGCAGAUCUCAUCAAAACAAAAUAUGCUACACAUUUCUGAGCAUUGUUACCUACCAUUUUGCCAGGCUAUGCAUUUCAAAUCAACCAAAAAUAUUUAAGCAUCCAGGCAAAUGUAAGAAGUAACAGAUGGGGAUGAAGACUUGUUCAGGUUCUUCGCCUAUCCAGGCUAUAUAAAGGGUAGAAAAAAAUAAGCUAUUUUUUAUUCCAUUUUAGUUUUGUCUUCCGUGUUGGUUUCUUGGCAAAAUAAAUUAGGUCUGAUGAUAGAUUAGUUGAACACUUGUUAAUAUUUGAGAGUUAACAGUAUAGGUAACACAUGAACAAGAACAACAGUUAAAACCUAAACAUUAUCAUUUUCAUUUCCAACCCAUGAAAACGACCUGGGUAUAUUUGGCUCUCCUCCACCUGGCAGUGGUUUUCAAAUCUAAGUUGGAUCAGUUGUUAGAGAAAGUGGGAUUUCUCUCCCCCACCAAAGAGGUGACCAACAUUUAUAAUACAUUUGCCUAAAGGCCAAACAAGUCCAACUCAACCUCUAAAGUCCAUUGUCAAUAGUUCUAUCACAUAGCCAUGCAUGAUAUAUGCAGUCAAACAAAGACAAGCAACUAUAUGGAUGGACCAACCUACAACAGCUUCCUUUUAAUUGCUGCAUGUUUACAUCCCAUCUACUGAAAUCUCUAGGGUUCUUCUCCCUGCACGGUGUUGUUAGAUUACCAACAAAACUUGAUGUCAGUGAACAUGAAAACAGAACAAAGUGUUGUCCUAGUUUAUGACAUCGCAGCUCUCCUGCGCAUUCAAGAAAAAAGACAUCGCCAACACUUACAUAGCUUGCUCAAUAAUUGCCAUUAGCCUCGUUGAGUUCUUGAAGAACAAGGAAACAACUUCUUCUGUAAAAUUAGGGCUUGCUUCAUCCUGCAAGUCCUCAAUCUGACAAAAUUGCUCAUCCAAGUAUCCCUGUUAUUAUAAUAUGGAAAAUCAGCAAACAUUUUAACAGCACAUAUUAAAGUAAGGUAGAUAGCAGAAUUUGGUAAUAAAACCAAUGUGGCCAUGAAGACCUUCGCAUCAGUUUGCCUAGUAAAGGUCCACACUAACAUUUAGUGGAAUUCUAAAUUCUAUAUAAAUAAUGUUGUCACACUUAAUUCAACAUUUUUUGUUUCAGGUUCUUAGCUAUCUGUCAAUUAAUAUGAAACGAUGCAAAUGAUUUCCCCAAAAACACUCUAUUGUACUCCCUGCUCAAUGCUGAGCAGAAGAUAUCACAGAGUAACUAUAGAUAGAAAGGAAUGAGAAGUAGAGUUGCAUAGCCUCCAAAGUGAGUUGUUCUUGUGGUACAUAGUAUAUUGGUAGGUAUACUGUGCAACACUUAACAAAAUGGAAGCACACCAUUGACUGGACCAAAAUGCGAGCAUAAACCUGAUCAAAGAGGCUCUUUUUCAAGGAUGAUGCCUGCUGUUGCAAAUUAGAAUACUCCAUUUAUAAAUGAAUGGCUUCAAGGUAGAGUAGGCACAAAAUGCAUAUGCAACUGGUUGGUCACCUUGCUUGUAAAAUAGUUGGCUACGAGAUCCAUUUAUAUAGCCGAGGAGGCUAUUGCUAUCGUCCAACAUGAGUAAAAGUGCAGAUAUUUCAAAGUAUGAACAACAAAUAUUAGCAUGCCACGUACAGAAGGGAUUUUAUUGCCAAGGUGUGCAACAUCUAUCCACAUUUUGGACAAUGACUUAAACUGCUGUGUAUCUGAUGCUCCUUUGAGGUGCAUGUUGUGCACAUUAGGCCUGAAGAAACAAUAACGGCUCUUCUUUCAACUAAGCAGACUGAUUAGUACAAGAUCCAAGAAGAUUGCCAUUUCAUUGGUUAUCGAUAAGCAAUCCUCCUGAACAAUGUUUAUUAUUACUUGUGAUGAAAUAUUCCUAACAUUUCACAUGGUCAAUAAUACAUUAGCAUCUCAGGUAGACUUUCUGCCUUUCACAAACUCUGAUGUUUCAUCAGCAGAGUUUUUUCCCCAGAUAUUAUUUUAGUUUCUACUUGUUCUGUCCUUUUUGUACUGGGCAGGUUUUCAAUCGCUGAAGAACAAGGAGAUGAUGGAACUUGAAGCAGAGGUACCAAAAGGGUUGGCACUGCAAUUUCACCAGCAGGAAGCAGAACAUGACCAAGAAGUGGAUGGUGUUGGAGCUUAGAAGAUGCAGUCUAUCUUGUGAAGCUGGUUCUGCAAUCUGUCGGCGGAGUUUAAGUAGCUGCUAUUUCGUUGUUUGUUUGAGUAAUGAAAUUAGGGGAUGCCCGUUUGUGGAGAAAAAAACUCUGAGCUGUUGUUCACAGAGAAAAAUUUAAUGGAAUAGAGGAAUCCUAUAUUGUAAC